AGGUGACGUGGUGUCGACACAGACUUGGGUCCUUGGCAUUGUAACACAGGUAACAUUCUAAACCUAGAAGACAAGCGGUAAAUUCCCGGUCAUUCAGAUCAUUACACCAGCCUCAUGUCUGUGAUCCAUGGUGAAAAAAAGAGAGAUUCAAGAGAACUUAUUGAAUUCAAGUAACAACGAUAAUAAGAAUCUAUUAUACACCUAUUUACUGGCGAUAAGGACAACAGCAAGUUUAUUGUCCCCCAAGACAACAACUAUUUCCUGCGGCGCAUUGUUCACAACUGCAGGGCAUGAUUCACGAG